UUCUUCGUUUGCUUUCUCUUCUUCGUCUUCUCUGCUAGAACUUGUAGCAACUAUCCUGCUUGGUUUCCUCUUCACCUCUUCCAUCGGCAACCACAUCUCUCCCGGCCUGGAAACGCUCGUUAGCUUCACCUUCGAUCCUCCCUUCACCAACAAUCGUUACCUCAACGUGGAAGGAAACGCGUCCAAGACGACCGAGGACGUCGAGCUCACCACGAACUCGGUGGAUGUUGUCAUCGGCAACAGCGCUGGCAGGGCCUACUACGUCGAUCCCAU
rnacentral:lncRNA from 1 species